rnacentral:rRNA from 1 species
CCUACGGGAGACUGCAGUGGGGAAUAUUGCGCAAUGGGCGAAAGCCUGACGCAGCGACGCCGCGUGAGGGAUGAAGGUCUUCGGAUCGUAAACCUCUGUCAGCAGGGAAGAACGGUCACUGUGCUAAUCAGCAGUGAAUUGACGGUACCUGCAAAGGAAGCACCGGCUAACUCCGUGCCAGCAGCCGCGGUAAUACGGAGGGUGCGAGCGUUAAGCGGAAUUACUGGGCGUAAAGCGCUCGUAGGCGGUAUGUCAAGUCAAGGGUGAAAUCCCCGCGCUCAACGUGGGAACUGCCUUUGAAACUGGCAAACUGGAGUGUGUGAGAGGAUAGUGGAAUUCCAGGUGUAGGAGUGAAAUGCGUAGAUAUCUGGAGGAACAUCAGUGGCGAAGGCGACUAUCUGGCACAUAACUGACGCUGAGGAGCGAAAGCGUGGGUAGCAAACAGGAUUAGAUACCCUUGUAGUC